AUUGAACGCUGGCGGCAUGCUUUACACAUGCAAGUCGAACGGUAACAGGGUGCUUGCACCGCUGACGAGUGGCGAACGGGUGAGUAAUACAUCGGAAUGUACCCAGUAAUGGGGGAUAACGCUUCGAAAGGAGUGCUAAUACCGCAUACGCCCUGAGGGGGAAAGUGGGGGACCGCAAGGCCUCACGUUAUUGGAGCAGCCGAUGGCUGAUUAGCUAGUUGGUGAGGUAAAGGCUCACCAAGGCGACGAUCAGUAGCUGGUCUGAGAGGACGACCAGCCACACUGGGACUGAGACACGGCCCAGACUCCUACGGGAGGCAGCAGUGGGGAAUUUUGGACAAUGGGCGCAAGCCUGAUCCAGCAAUGCCGCGUGCAGGAAGAAGGCCUUCGGGUUGUAAACUGCUUUUGUACGGAACGAAACGGCGAGCUCUAAUACAGUUUGCUAAUGACGGUACCGUAAGAAUAAGCACCGGCUAACUACGUGCCAGCCGCCGCAGUAA
rnacentral:rRNA from 1 species